GUCGAUGGAAAGAAAACUUCCACUCUUUCUCUGCCCAGCUGGACAGUUUCCUCUCAUCACCGAGCAACUGACCGUUUGCAAAGGACAUUAGACAACCGCUGUACUGCCAAACCUCCCCCUUCAGCUCCUUGACAAGUCAACUCAUGCCAGUCACAUUCCAGCAACGGGCGAAUUGUUGGAUCAUCAAAUGAUUCCGGGAAUUUAUUUUUCAGUCCCUUUAUGUUCUAACUUCCCCCAAGCUGUAUCAGACCCGAGGCUGUUUUGGUGGACUCCUCCAGGGCCAGAAACCUGUCCAGCUUCUGUGCAAAAUCAGGGGGCAGGUUGUGAGGGGAUCUGUAUGUCUUCAUGGUGGUACUCAGCUAGACAUUCAAGACAUUCAAGGCCACCUUUCAGAUGAAAAGCCAGGUAAUUAUGAAUGUGUCUCAAGCUGAUGUGAACCUCAUCUAAAACUCGCUCCCACACCCACCACUUGCUCUUGUGAGCAUCAACGGGGGUCCAGUUGUGAUACUGUUGAUGAAAGUGUAGCCUGACAGCUUCAACUUCCUGCCUGAAGCAAGAGUUGCGAAUGUUUUGGACCUGGGGGCUGUCAUGCAUCGGGCCUCUCCGUAGCACUUCUGCCGUGUCCAGUUGCAGCUCAAUCACUAGCAUAGGAAUAAUGCUGCAGGAUUCCAGCAAUUCAGCCUGAUGCUUGGUCACAGGGAAGCCGUCCAACACAAAACUGAGGAUCAU